GACGAACGCUGGCGGCGUGCUUAACACAUGCAAGUCGAACGGAAAGGCCCUGCUUUUGUGGGGUGCUCGAGUGGCGAACGGGUGAGUAACACGUGAGUAACCUGCCCUUUACUUUGGGAUAACUUCAGGAAACUGGGGCUAAUACCGGAUAUGAGCUCCUGCUGCAUGGUGGGGGUUGGAAAGUUUCGGCGGUUGGGGAUGGACUCGCGGCUUAUCAGCUUGUUGGUGGGGUAGUGGCUUACCAAGGCUUUGACGGGUAGCCGGACUGAGAGGGUGACCGGCCACAUUGGGACUGAGAUACGGCCCAGACUCCUACGGGAGGAAGCAGUGGGGAAUAUUGCAAAAUGGGCGGAAGCCUGAAGCAGCAACGCCGCGUGCGGGAUGACGGCCUUCGGGUUGUAAACCGCUUUCGCCUGUGACGAAGCGUGAGUGACGGUAAUGGGUAAAGAAGCAACGGCUAACUACGUG
rnacentral:rRNA from 1 species